UUCACUCUUCCCUCUAAACCUAAACCUAUAUCGCACCGUCCACCGUAUAUCCACCACUUUCCUCCUCGCCGUUGGCCAUCCAGCUAUCUCUCUCAGCCUCAUCUCCCUCUUCCCCUUCCUAGAUCGAUGCACAGCACAGCUUGCCUUGUGUUUGACUAAGGACGUAGAGGGUAGCAACUCAUUCUCUCCCGCCGGUCUCCGCUCCUCCAUCUCAACUCCACUCUUCGUCGCUCACGCAAUCGCCCCUGUUGCCUUCGGCGACCCCGCGGUCGGCCACCCUGUGGACGGCGACGCCGCACACGCCGAGGACGCCCAGCCGCUGGCCAGCCCCAUGCGGAAGGUCGUGGUCAGCAUCCGCUGCUAGCAAAUCGAUUGGCUUUUGUAGUUUUGACUUGGGAAGACUCGCACUUCUAGCCAGGAUCUUCUGUGGAGUUGAGUCCGAUUAGGGUUUCUGUUCCCACUCUAUGAAAGUUGUGCCUUCGGUCAUCAUUCUCCUUGACAACGUUAGCAAGCAAGCGAUAGAAACGAAGCGAGCACGGCGAUGGAACAGACAGACCUUCAUCAUGAUCAAGCCCAACGACUUCCAACGAGGCCUAGUGUGCUCUCCGUCUUCCUCCCCCUUGAUUUCUUAUUCCUUCGCUUCGUUCAUCUAUUUGUCGGCGUUGCAUUGCGUAAUUUACAGUAGAUAUGUUACUGAAACACCAAAAUCCUUCUUCUUCCUUUUUUUUUAGUUGAAAGGUUGGAGAAAUUAUUAGUAGGUUUGAGAAAAAAGGUUUCUACUUGAAAGGUGAAGAUUUUACCAACUACAAUCCUUUUUUGUUUUCCCGUCUACUUUAGAGAAGAAACGAGAAAUUUUCUUGGUUAUUUUUGUGCGUCGAUCAUGGUUGAAGUUGGUCGGCGUGGAACGCUCCUUUGCAGAGAAACACUAUGUCGACCUCUCUGCGAAGCCCUUCUUUGGUUCCCUUGUGGAGUACAUCAUCUCUGGUCCGGUGGUAGCGAUGGUAUGGACGUGAAAGAAUGUGGUGGUCAGACUAUGCAAUUGAGAUUGGCAGGAUUUGUGUGUUGGGCUUCUUAGAUGCGCUACAUAUACAACUUAAAGGCUUUGAUCAUUAAGUCCAUGAUGCUUCCUUCCAACAUGUUGAUAACCAUGCUAAUUGAAGGUCUAUUUUCUGGCUUUAUCUGUAUGCACCAUAAACCCACUAUCAUCAUUUUUUUUGCAAUUUCUUUAGUCUUAGGAUUAGCAUCAGUCUCAGGACUAACAAGACUAGUAUCAGGAGUGACCAAAUCAUAGUACUUAUCAAAAUUGUCAUAAACCCAAUCUGGUGUUAGACUGGGUUUAUGACAAUUUUAUGUGCAUAUUCAAUUUGUAUCAUCUUCAGGAAUUGGCAAAUGGUCAAAACAAGUUUAAUAAUGAGCACACAUAUAGCUUGAUAUCUGAAUUGCUUCCCCUGCUGAAACAUAUCUAUCAGAACCAAUUAAAUGAGCUGGAAGUAAAGCAAGGGGAUCAAGGUAAGCUUCAAAACAAUUGCCUAGUUUCUUCCUCCAGUUAGAUAUCCUCUUGAUCGAUCUAUCAUCCAAAAGGUGGAUUUUCUAGUGUACUUCUUCGAGUAUAUGAGCCUCACAAUGAGCUUGUUAACUGGUAUGUCUUCACAUCUGUAACACCUCUGAUAAUUUCGUAAGAGGAGAUGAGUAGACUCCGGAAGAAUGAGUAGCUCAACACUUCACAUUUGAAUGCAUUUGAGUAAUGGAAUUUCAGUCACUGAUAUUAUAAUCCUGUGUUUAAUUACUCUAACCACCGUUUAACUUUCUGAGAAUUAUUGAUCUUUUUUUAUGAUGAAUAUUUUAGGACGAAUGAUGGACAAAAGUACAGCAGAUGUAGCUUCAGAUGGGUAUCACAAAUAUAAGCUACUUCCUAAGCAAUCACACAAUUAAAGAGUUAGUUUGACUAUAGAAGAAUCAUACAAGUAACUUUCAGUAAGAUGAGAUGAUUUAUUAGGAAGAUGUCAAGCUGAUGGCUGAAUUGGGAUUGGACUCCUACAGAUUCUCCAUCUCUUGGUCAAGACUUCUUCCGAAUGGAAGAGGAUUUGUGAAUCCUAAAGGUCUGUAGUUCUACAACAACUUCAUCGAUGAGCUAGUGAAAUAUGGGACUGGAUUGAUCUUACUUCAUCAUUUGAAUUUGCAAAUUUAGCUGGUUUAGUAGAGAAGAUCAUGUGAACUCCUGGAUCUUCUUGGAUGCAAGAACUCUCAUGAAUCAAUGAGUUGUUGAUGCUCUGAACAUUGCUAUUCACACUUGUGCUAAUGGAAAGGACUUCAGUACUUGCCAUUUUAGAUCAAAGAAGCUGAGCAAACAAGUAAAAAUUAUCAGCAAAAGGUAAGAGAAUUGGAGAAUCAAUUAAAUAGUGAGAGGACAACCAAGAAGGAUGUUGCAAAGUUCCCAAAGCCUCCAAUGACUCCUUUAAGAUGGAGGCCUCCUUUACAAAGAAUCACCAAUCAGUUGUCACCCUCAGGACAUCAAAUGAGCAAAGGUGCUCAUCCAGUAAUAGAUAAAGAGAAUUGUCUAUUAAUAAAUAAAACUACUGGGGAAGAUUUAGUUAAAUCUCUGCACAGAGUAAGAAGGAUAACGUUGGCACCAGUAAGAAGAAUAUUUGUGUACUAUCUAUUA